AGAACGAACGCUGGCGGCAUGCCUAAUACAUGCAAGUCGAACGAACUCUUCGGAGUUAGUGGCGCACGGGUGCGUAACGCGUGGGAAUCUGCCCCUUGGUUCGGAAUAACAGUUGGAAACGACUGCUAAUACCGGAUGAUGACGAAAGUCCAAAGAUUUAUCGCCAAGGGAUGAGCCCGCGUAGGAUUAGCUAGUUGGUGAGGUAAAGGCUCACCAAGGCAACGAUCCUUAGCUGGUACUGAGAGGAUGAUCAGCCACACUGGGACUGAGACACGGCCCAG
rnacentral:rRNA from 1 species